UUAUUUAGAUGGUGUUAUCCCCACUGGAAACCUUAUCUACCAUUGUCUUAUAUACUAAUAAUAUUUCACAUGUACCUGCCUGUCAUAAAGAAAAAAUGAUAAUAUUGUAUAAUAAAGAAGCUAAUUAGAAAGAAUUACGCUCUUCUAUGUUUUAUGUAUUUAUUUGAACUCUCUACAUUUUUUUAGUUUAAAACUUUUCAACUAACAGAUCUUAUGAAGCACGAUUCCCGUGACAUGUUUGAUGACGUACGAGUGGUUCUACAGUGCAGAAUUUCAAGAUAAACUAUAGGAAGAAAACAGUCAGUCAGUAGCACUCAAUACCACCUCUUGGACUACUAACUCUAGUUUGACCGAAUUGCCGAAUUUGAUCGUCAUUUUGAAGCGCAUCCAAGGUAGAAAAGUGCGAAACGCAUUUUUGGAGCAACGGGUCAGAUCCAUCAUUCUUCGGACUUACAGUCACGCACUCUAACAACUAGGACACGCCUGUUAAAAGUGAUUAGAAAAGCAUUUUGGAGGCUUAUUGAGAUAUUUGUAUACAUUAAACUGUCAUGCAGUCCUAGAACAUUUCAUCCUCAAAACUGCUCGAACUCCAGGACCUGUUGAUGAAAAUUCAUAUACCAACCCUUUCACCCGAUAUCUGGUAUUCGACUGAUCUCAUUUGUUAAGCCCAAAUCUUAAGGCGUAAACGUCUUGCUCAUUUGCGACUAAAUACAUUUGGUGUGUUAAACUGUAACUUGAAACAUGGUUUCAAUGUUAGUUAAUUAUCUAAUCAUUUUCACAGUUUGAUGCGUGCAAUUAGUUUACAAACAGUAUUGUCUAAACACUAAACCAGUCUUUACACAUAUGCUUUAACAUGUAUGUUGUAACUGACUGUAUGAGUGUAUAAACAUGUACACGUCAAAUUGCGCAUGCUGUACUCCAUGAUGAACAAGUUAUGUUGAAAUAAACAUUAACGAAAAUUUAAAAA
rnacentral:lncRNA from 1 species